rnacentral:rRNA from 1 species
GAUGAACGCUGGCGGCGUGCCUAAUACAUGCAAGUCGAGCGAACAGACGAGGAGCUUGCCCCUCUGACGUUAGCGGCGGACGGGUGAGUAACACGUGGAUAACCUACCUAUAAGACUGGGAUAACUUCGGGAAACCGGAGCUAAUACCGGAUAAUAUAUUGAACCGCAUGGUUCAAUAGUGAAAGACGGUUUUGCUGUCACUUAUAGAUGGAUCCGCGCCGCAUUAGCUAGUUGGUAAGGUAACGGCUUACCAAGGCAACGAUGCGUAGCCGACCUGAGAGGGUGAUCGGCCACACUGGAACUGAGACACGGUCCAGACUCCUACGGGAGGCAGCAGUAGGGAAUCUUCCGCAAUGGGCGAAAGCCUGACGGAGCAACGCCGCGUGAGUGAUGAAGGUCUUCGGAUCGUAAAACUCUGUUAUUAGGGAAGAACAAAUGUGUAAGUAACUAUGCACGUCUUGACGGUACCUAAUCAGAAAGCCACGGCUAACUA